rnacentral:tRNA from 1 species
UGAGAUGUAGUUCAGUGGCAGAAUGUGUGCUUAGCAUAUACAAGGUCCUGGGUUUGACCCCCCAGGACUUCUCUA